rnacentral:rRNA from 1 species
AUUGAACGCUGGCGGCAGGCCUAACACAUGCAAGUCGAGCGAGCGGCGGACGGGUGAGUAAUGUCUGGGAAACUGCCUGAUGGAGGGGGAUAACUAAUGGAAACGGUAGCUAAUACCGCAUACCAUCAGAUGUGCCCAGAUGGGAUUAGCUAGUAGGUUGGGUAACGGCUAACCAAGGCGACGAGCCCUAGCUGGUCUGAGAGCAUGACCAGCCACACUGGAACUGAGACACGGUCCAGACUCCGACGGGAGGCAGCAGUGGGGAAUAUUGCACAAUGGGCGCAAGCCUGAUGCAGCCAGGCCGCGUGUGUGAAGAAGGCCUUCGGGUUGUAAAGCACUUUCAGCGGGGAGGCGUUACCCGCAGAAGAAGCACCGGCUAACUCCGUGCCAGCAGCCGCGGUAAUUC